rnacentral:rRNA from 15 species
GGUUAAGCGACUAAGCGUACACGGUGGAUGCCUAGGCAGUCAGAGGCGAUGAAGGGCGUGCUAAUCUGCGAAAAGCGUCGGUAAGCUGAUAUGAAGCGUUAUAACCGACGAUACCCGAAUGGGGAAACCCAGUGCAAUACGUUGCACUAUCGUUAGAUGAAUACAUAGUCUAACGAGGCGAACCGGGGGAACUGAAACAUCUAAGUACCCCGAGGAAAAGAAAUCAACCGAGAUUCCCCCAGUAGCGGCGAGCGAACGGGGAGGAGCCCAGAGUCUGAAUCAGUUUGUGUGUUAGUGGAAGCGUCUGGAAAGUCGCACGGUACAGGGUGAUAGUCCCGUACACCAAAAUGCACAGGCUGUGAACUCGAUGAGUAGGGCGGGACACGUGACAUCCUGUCUGAAUAUGGGGGGACCAUCCUCCAAGGCUAAAUACUCCUGACUGACCGAUAGUGAACCAGUACCGUGAGGGAAAGGCGAAAAGAACCCCGGCGAGGGGAGUGAAAUAGAACCUGAAACCGUGUACGUACAAGCAGUGGGAGCACCUUCGUGGUGUGACUGCGUACCUUUUGUAUAAUGGGUCAGCGACUUAUAUUUUGUAGCAAGGUUAACCGAAUAGGGGAGCCGUAGGGAAACCGAGUCUUAACUGGGCGUCUAGUUGCAAGGUAUAGACCCGAAACCCGGUGAUCUAGCCAUGGGCAGGUUGAAGGUUGGGUAACACUAACUGGAGGACCGAACCGACUAAUGUUGAAAAAUUAGCGGAUGACUUGUGGCUGGGGGUGAAAGGCCAAUCAAACCGGGAGAUAGCUGGUUCUCCCCGAAAGCUAUUUAGGUAGCGCCUCGUGAACUCAUCUUCGGGGGUAGAGCACUGUUUCGGCUAGGGGGCCAUCCCGGCUUACCAAACCGAUGCAAACUCCGAAUACCGAAGAAUGUUAUCACGGGAGACACACGGCGGGUGCUAACGUCCGUCGUGAAGAGGGAAACAACCCAGACCGCCAGCUAAGGUCCCAAAGUCAUGGUUAAGUGGGAAACGAUGUGGGAAGGCACAGACAGCCAGGAUGUUGGCUUAGAAGCAGCCAUCAUUUAAAGAAAGCGUAAUAGCUCACUGGUCGAGUCGGCCUGCGCGGAAGAUGUAACGGGGCUAAACCAUGCACCGAAGCUGCGGCAGCGACACUUAGGUGUUGUUGGGUAGGGGAGCGUUCUGUAAGCCGUUGAAGGUGACCUGUGAGGGUUGCUGGAGGUAUCAGAAGUGCGAAUGCUGACAUAAGUAACGAUAAUGCGGGUGAAAAACCCGCACGCCGGAAGACCAAGGGUUCCUGUCCAACGUUAAUCGGGGCAGGGUGAGUCGACCCCUAAGGCGAGGCUGAAAAGCGUAGUCGAUGGGAAACAGGUUAAUAUUCCUGUACUUGGUGUUACUGCGAAGGGGGGACGGAGAAGGCUAGGCUGGCCGGGCGACGGUUGUCCCGGUUUAAGCGUGUAGGGGGAGUGACCAGGUAAAUCCGGUUGCUUAUCAACCCUGAGGCGUGAUGACGAUGCACCACGGUGCAGAAGCAGUUGAUGCCAUGCUUCCAGGAAAAGCCUCUAAGCAUCAGGUAACAUUAAAUCGUACCCCAAACCGACACAGGUGGUCAGGUAGAGAAUACUCAGGCGCUUGAGAGAACUCGGGUGAAGGAACUAGGCAAAAUGGUGCCGUAACUUCGGGAGAAGGCACGCUGGCGUUAGGUGAAAGGACUAGCUCCUGGAGCUGAAGCCAGUCGCAGAUACCAGCUGGCUGCAACUGUUUAAUAAAAACACAGCACUGUGCAAACACGAAAGUGGACGUAUACGGUGUGACGCCUGCCCGGUGCUGGAAGGUUAAUUGAUGGGGUCAGCCGCAAGGCGAAGCUCUUGAUCGAAGCCCCAGUAAACGGCGGCCGUAACUAUAACGGUCCUAAGGUAGCGAAAUUCCUUGUCGGGUAAGUUCCGACCUGCACGAAUGGCGUAAUGAUGGCCAGGCUGUCUCCACCCGAGACUCAGUGAAAUUGAACUCGCUGUGAAGAUGCAGUGUACCCGCGGCAAGACGGAAAGACCCCGUGAACCUUUACUAUAGCUUGACACUGAACAUUGAGCCUUGAUGUGUAGGAUAGGUGGGAGGCCUUGAAGUGUGGACGCCAGUCUGCAUGGAGCCAACCUUGAAAUACCACCCUUUAAUGUUUGAUGUUCUAACUCGGCCCCAUGAUCUGGGGUGAGGACAGUGUCUGGUGGGUAGUUUGACUGGGGCGGUCUCCUCCCAAAGAGUAACGGAGGAGCACGAAGGUUAGCUAAUCACGGUCGGACAUCGUGAGGUUAGUGCAAAGGCAUAAGCUAGCUUGACUGCGAGAGUGACGGCUCGAGCAGGUACGAAAGUAGGUCUUAGUGAUCCGGUGGUUCUGAAUGGAAGGGCCAUCGCUCAACGGAUAAAAGGUACUCCGGGGAUAACAGGCUGAUACCGCCCAAGAGUUCAUAUCGACGGCGGUGUUUGGCACCUCGAUGUCGGCUCAUCACAUCCUGGGGCUGAAGUAGGUCCCAAGGGUAUGGCUGUUCGCCAUUUAAAGUGGUACGCGAGCUGGGUUUAGAACGUCGUGAGACAGUUCGGUCCCUAUCUGCCGUGGGCGUUGGAAGAUUGAGAGGGGCUGCUCCUAGUACGAGAGGACCGGAGUGGACGAAUCACUGGUGUUCGGGUUGUCAUGCCAAUGGCAUUGCCCGGUAGCUAAAUUCGGAAGAGAUAACCGCUGAAAGCAUCUAAGCGGGAAACUUGCCUCGAGAUGAGUCUUCCCUGGGGCUUAAAGCCCCCUGAAGGAACGUUAAAGACUAUGACGUUGAUAGGCUGGGUGUGUAAGUGCAGCGAUGUAUUGAGCUAACCAGUACUAAUGAUCCGUGAGGCUUAACCUU